rnacentral:rRNA from 1 species
GACGAACGCUGGCGGCGUGCUUAACACAUGCAAGUCGAACGGAAAGGCCCUGCUUUUGUGGGGUGCUCGAGUGGCAAACGGGUGAGUAACACGUGAGUAACCUGCCCUUGACUUUGGGAUAACUUCAGGAAACUGGGGCUAAUACCGGAUAGGAGCUCCUGCUGCAUGGUGGGGGUUGGAAAGUUUCGGCGGUUGGGGAUGGACUCGCGGCUUAUCAGCUUGUUGGUGGGGUAGUGGCUUACCAAGGCUUUGACGGGUAGCCGGCCUGAGAGGGUGACCGGCCACAUUGGGACUGAGAUACGGCCCAGACUCCUACGGGAGGCAGCAGUGGGGAAUAUUGCACAAUGGGCGGAAGCCUGAUGCAGCAACGCCGCGUGCGGGAUGACGGCCUUCGGGUUGUAAACCGCUUUCGCCUGUGACGAAGCGUGAGUGACGGGAAUGGGUAAAGAAGCACCGGCUAACUACGU